AGCUUCCCUCUCAUUAAUUAUUUUCUUUUCUCUCUCUCUCGCGAAAACGACGACAACAACAGAAAAACCUCUCUUUCGGUUUCUCACGACGGCCAUGGAAUAAGCUCGAAGAAGCUCACAUGCUCACAAACCCAGGUUUUCACUUUCAAUGACACACCCUUUAUUUCCAAUGAAGUUGACUACAACUCGUAUUCCAACUAAUGGGAUGAUAAGUGGAGUACCAGGGAGAAGGAUAAAGACAAAUUCUUUCUUUUUCUACCACAUAUUCAGUAAGAUAUUCAGCUGAACAAUGCCAUUCUCGCUGAAGAUAAACACAAAUCUAUCUUGACUGUUUCUGGAUUGACUUGGUAAAUAUUCUUGUUAUUGAAAAAUUGGAACCUUGUUAGUGUAAACCUUGCAAUGGCAGGAACUGGCAUAUACCAACUCUGGCGCAAAUUGCGGUAAGUGAUAUAAAGUUAUCAAUAUUUAUGUGAAGUUUUUGUGAGAUUGCUAUUCUGCUACCUUGUGAUUCAACGUUCAUGGAAACCUCAGCACUAUUUUAAUCAGUAAUUAUAAAGUUUAUUUUCUUGAGAGGAUUGGAUUGAAUUUAUCAUAAAAUCAAAUUCUGACAUUUUUUCUUAAAAUUCCGAAGAGCAAUGUUGAAGGUGUGUGUAUGUGUCUGACAUUUUCUAUUUGUCACUCUAAGUUUUUAUAUUUAUUUUUUGUUCAGGUUUAUUAGAUAUAUAAUUUACUUAGUAAAUCAUAUACUGAUGCUAUUGUCAUUGAUGUGUAGACAGUAAAAUAAUUUGUAUUCAUACAAUUAUAGUAAUCAAUCUUUAAAUUCUUCAAAAUUGGCGCAAGUGAUUGGUGUGUUGGUUUGAAAAAGAAAACCAGCCCUUUGGGCAAGUUUGGUUUCACUAUUGGAGUACUUAGAACUGAUUCUAAAAUUGAUUUUUUACGUGUAAAAUUGACAUGUUUAGUUGACAUGUAAAAUUGGCUUACAUAUAGUCGCGGUUUUAAUUAGUGGCCAUAAACAAACCGUGGCAAUACCUAGGCAACUAAACCGCAUGCUAUACAUUAAAUCAAAACCGUGGUUUUACGAUUUGGCCACAGUUUUGUAGUCAUGGCAAAGACAAACCGCGGCCUUAAUUUAGAUACCUAAACCGUGGCCUAUACAAGCCACGGAUGUCCAUAAAACGUGGCACAAACAAGAAAAUCGUGGAUUAUACUUUAGGCCACGCCCGCAUAUCCCACAAUCACGUUUCUGUGGCCAAAGCGUUACACCACGGUUAUUUUGCAUAUAGCUGCGGUUUCGUGGCCGUGGCAGGUGACCUUUUUUUUGUAGUAUUCCAAGGAAUUGUGAUUGGGAAUUCAUCUGUAUACAGUCGUUACUUUGCCCAAUUUUUGUAUCAAGUUCUUACGGUGUAUUUCUGAAGCUUGGUACAAGUUAUGCAUAUGAAAAUGUCACAUUCAUCUAGAGCUUAUUUCAUCUGGUACUUGGUAUUGUGCCUGCUUGGUUAUGAUAAAUCCAAAGGAUGGGAAUUCUACAUUGACUUUUUAAUGUCAAGUGUUGGCUUUUUAUUUGGUUAGAUUGUUCUUGUCCUUAGCUUUUAUUUUAUGCUUUAGGAUAGUCCCUUCAUCUCGUCUCAUCUUUAAUUUUCAAAACUACUCCCUCUAUUUCAAAAUCUUCUUAUGUUUGCACAUUCUUUUAAAACUUUCUUUAAGAACUUUUUGCCUUUAGUGACUUUUCUUUCAAAGUUUGGACACGAAUGAUUAUUUUAGUGGAGAUGUAAUCCCCUAAAUGUCUUGAUAUGUAUUGAUAUGGUUGGUCCUUUUUCACUUGAGAGAGCUAGUGGCAUACUUGUUAAUUUAUCCAAGUUGGAGCCCUUCUUUCAUUUGUGAUGCAAAGGCUCCAUCAGUUCUCAUGUUUAAGAAUGAUUGGCUGAGUUUUCUCCCCUAUGAUAAUCAAAUUUCUAUUCUAUUUUAAACCAAAAACUUUUGUUUCCUUUUGAAGUGGAACUACAUUUGCUCUGACUUUUCCAUUGCACUGAGGAGGUAUGUAGGCAUAAUAUGUUUUGUCUUGCCGAUCAUAAUUUUUAAAACCAAACAAACUCUUUUUUGCACACAAUCAUAACUCUUUUUUAACACAUAUUCACCACAUAAAGGUUCACGUGGAGUACCACAGAUGUGAGGGGUGCUAACACCUUCCCCUCACAUAAUCAACCCAUGUACCUAAGAUCUCUGCUUUUUAUUAGUUUUUAUUUGAAAAACUUCUUUGGGUUUUAUUUCGCUCUUUUCCCUUUUUCUUUGGAAAAAAUAAAGCGCGGUGUCGACUUUCACUAAAAUAAUGAGCCAAUUCAAUAAAUGGCUUUAGACUCAAUUUUCCCCCGCUAUAGAAAAGAGGCGACUUCACUAGAGAGUAGUCCUCUAAGUGGGUUAAGCUUAUUUUUGUUUAUCUGUGUAUAUUGUUAUCUCUAUAUUAUUGUAUGCUUUGUCUGUUUGUUUGUUUUUUGGAUGCUUGGUGGUUCCUCUGUGGUGAGAUAAGUCUUAUAUCCGAACUUGAGUGUACAUUAAGAUAAUAUGAUGGUAUAGUCAUUUUGGCUAAUGUGAAGUUAAUCCUUAAUAUGGUGACUUGAUAUCCCCUAACUCAAUGGAUGUCUCCUUGAAAUUGGUGAUGCUGAACAAGUUAAUUGUGAAAGCAUUGUUGUUUUCAACCUGAGAACAAGAGAAGAUGGGGACCUAGAAUACCUUUUACCCAUCUUGGCCUUUUUAGGAUGUAGUGCAAAGACUAUUUGGGUGUUGUCAUACGAUGAAUUGACUUUUAAAGAAAAUGUCGCGGUAAGCAAGAGUCGCCACCGACUUUUAUUUUAUCCAAUUGGAAAGGCAAAAAGAACAGGAAAGACCUUUGAAAGAUUUUGAGUUCGGGGGUAGGUUAUACAGAGGGAAGGUUUAAGGCACCCUUUGUAUCCAUGGUUAUCCAUGGGCUCUUAAUUUCUUAGCUCACUUUGUUUAUUUCGUUUGUUUGAAAUGUAGUGUGUGAAUAGAAAAGGUUUUUGAAGAAGGACUUUGGUUUGUAAAUAAGCGUAGCCUUUUGGAAAUCGUUUUGAAAAGGAGGUGUGAAAAUCAUUUGAAAGUUUUGAUUUAAAUGUGAGCAAGCAUUUAAGAACACCUACCCUAAGAUUGUCUUUUUUGUUCUUUAAGUCUUUCGGGCGAAAGGGUCUAUCCAUACCAUGAGAGGGCAGAAAGUCUUUCAAUUGAAUGUUUAAGGGUCAUCGAGAAAAGUAUCAUUCUCCAUAAAACUGUCCCUACCAUAAAGAGGGUAGGUAGUCUAAGGGAAGGAUAUAAUAGUCAUUUAGGCAACAGUAAAGAUACCUUAGCAUUCGAAGGGACUAUCACCAUUUUAUCGAGGGACGAGAUCAUAUUUAUCGUAGGCACAUCGCACGUUCGGAUUGUGUUUAGAAGAGGAGGUGUUGAUGUGCUGAGGAGGAUCCCUCACACUAAUCAUUCCUGCCUUCAAAAGAUGUUGCAAUGCCUGACAUGUUAAUUUUGGUGAAUUGACGCAUAGGUGCACCUGGCUUGCGUCGUUGUUGUGGAACUGGUGUAGAGAUUCAGAGUAUCCGGGGUUCGAGCUUUCGGAAUGUGUAUCUGAUGAGAAUGUUUCAGAAUGUCCGGGGUUCGAGCUUCCGGAAUGUAUAUCUGAUUGGAAUGUUUCAGAAGUCUGGGGGUCAAGCUUCCAGAAUGUUCAUCUAAUUGGAACUUUUAGAAUGUACGGGGUUCGAGCUUCCGGAAUGUAUAUCUGAUUGGAAUGUUUCAGAAGUCUGGGGGUCAAGCUUCCGGAAUGUUCAUCUGAUUGGAACUUUCAGAAUAUCCGGGGUUCGAGCUUCCGGAAUGUAUAUCUGAUUGGAAUGUUUCAGAAGUCUAGGGGCCAAGCUUCUAGAAUGUUCAUCUGAUUGGAACUUUCAGAAUGUCCGGGGUUCGAGCUUCCGGAAUGUAUAUCUGAUUGGAAUGUUUCAGAAGUCUGAGGGUCAAGCUUCCAGAAUGUUCAUCUGAUAAAGAUUGAUUUGUUGACAGUAUUUAUCUAACCAGUUGAUCGACCUGAAAGGCAAAGUUAGUUCUAUGUGAUGUUAUGAAUGCAAAUGCAAUCUUUUCAAGGAUCUUUAGGAAUUUAGUUAGCAACAUUAGAAAAUGAUUUGGUCGCGUCUUUGUCUGAAGAAUUCUGACUUUCGUCUUUGAACGUUCUUCUUUGAUAAUCAAGCUCACCAUAUCGAGUGGGUCAUCGCCUCUGAUUCGGGAUACUUCUGAAUUGGAAGGUACAUGGCUAGAGGAAAAUAAAUCCUCUUGCCCCUUGAUAGGUACUGAGUCUCUGAAUUGGAAGGUAUGUGGCCGGAGGAAAAUAAAUCCUCGUGCCCCUAAAUAAGAGUUCAUUCUUUGAUAAUUAGCACCUGCAAUCGUGCGCCCUAAAUCCCUAAGAUCCUUGAAAGGGUUAGUCAAUCAUGUUAUGUUAUGAUGUUAUGAUGUCAUGAUGUCAUGAAGAUGUAAUGCAUUAGGCAAAGCGUAAGGUAAUAAGGACGAGUGCGUCCCACAAGAAAAAACCUGCAAGGAAACCAAAGGGUUAGUAGAGCACACAAGCAAGUCACACAAGAGUCCUUAGGUUUAGGGGCUUGCAUGAAGUUCGUAGGUAAGUACCCUCCCCACUGAAGUUUAGUUGGUUCAACCUGUCCUAGAAUAGUAAUCGGGUUCUAUGGUGCUCAUAUCGCUGAUCUUUCUCGCGGGCAUUGUCUCAACAUGGCACUCGAUCGGCCAGCCAAAAGCAUCCCUAGAGUCCAAUCUCAAUGAGUGUAGCAUCGAGUAUCAACCGGCUUCAGUCAGGAAUCCAAAGCCAGCUAUCUCGCUACUUCCUAUAGGCCAAAGUCAAGUUCAACUAAGGUUCUAAGGGCAAAUUAGUGCUUAUGACACCACGCGGUAGCCAAACGUCUCCUCGAUCAGAUUCAAGGGCCAUCAGGACAAACCAAACCGUCGCACUAACGGUGGCCACCAGUUCAACCAUAACGAUACAUGUCGUACAACCUCCCUGGUCUAUUGCCACAUACCUAAGGUACACUAGAUCCGGGUGUAGGAUCUUUCACACAACAUAAUACCCAAAACAACCUUUAAGAUAAAGCAAACAAAUCAAACAAGUGAAAACAUUUAAGUGAAUCCUAAACUUUAAGGUAACCCCUCUUUUAUUCGAAUAUAUCCCCAGCAGAGUCGCCAGUUCUGUCAUACGGUGACCUGACUUUUAAAGAAAAUGUUGCGGUAAGCAAGAGUCGCCAUCGACGUUUAUUUUAUCCAAUUGGAAAGGCAAAAAGAACAUGAAAGACCUUUGAAAGAUUUUGAGUUCGGGGGUAGGUUAUACAAAUGGAAGGUUUAAGGCACCCUUUGUAUCCAUGGUUAUCCAUGGUCUCUUAAUUGCUUAGCUCACUUUGUUUAUUUCGUUUGUUUGAAAUGUAGUGUGUGAAUAGAAAAGGUUUUUGAAGAAAAACUUUGGCUUGUAAAUAAGCGUAGCCUUUUGGAAAUCGUUUUGAAAAGGAGGUGUGAAAAGCAUUUGAAAGUUUUGAUUUGAAUGUGAGCAAGCAUUUAAGGACACCUACCCUAAGAUUGUCUUUUUUGUUCUUUAAGUCUUUCGGGCGAAAGGGUUUAUCCAUACCAUGAGAGGGCAGGAAGUCUUUCAAUUGGAUGUUUAAGGGUCAUCGAGAAAAGUAUCGUUCGCCAUAAAACUGUCCCUACCAUAAAGAGGGCAUGUAGUCUAAGGGAAGGAUAUAAUAGUCAUUUAGGCAACAGUAAAGAUACCUUAGCAUUCGAAGGGACUAUCACCAUUUUAUCGAGGGACGAGAUCAUAUUUAUCGUAGGCAACUCGAAGGGACUAUGAUCUUUUAUCAUAGGGACAUGGUGAUUUUGAAUCGAAGGCAGCAAGCUAAGGUAUCCCUAUAUCCGAGGGACUUGACUAUUUUUGAUCGAGAAGGCAGCAUACGAGUGGUUACCUUAAAGGUGUGUGUGUAUGUGCACCAAUCACGUGAUUUCAAUUCGAAUAUUUAUUUGCAGUUUAUGAGCUACGUUUAAUUAUUAGUUGUCACUCCCUAUUUUACUAACCACGCAGUUAAUAGUAUACAGAAAUUUAAAACAGUUUAUGGGUGCGGAAAGUAAAAUGCGGAAAGUAAAAAGUCCCUAUUACUAUUACAUCAAAAUUGAAUGAGCGACCUAUACACCUUCUAGAAUUUAAAAGACGGAAAUUAAACAAUUAAAUAAAUAGCAUAAUUAAACAAAAACAUAAUUUAAAUAAUGACGGAAAUUAAAUAGCAAAUAUUCAUACAUGCGACGUUCAAUGGAUUUUGAGAUGAGAAGAGAAUCGCGAGCUGAAAUUAGAGUUUAAAAAUAGGUGAAAAUAAUCCUAAGUCUAAAUUGUCAUUAUUAAUUUGAUUAAAUUAAAGUUAAUUAAAAUUAAACCAAAGUUAGAUUAAUAAAUUAAAAUUAUUUAACUAAUUAUAACCUAAACCUAUUUUUUGUAUUUUUAAUAAUUGGUUUUAAUGCAAAAUAAUUUAAACAAAUUAAUAAAAAGAAAUAAAAAGGGGGAAAAGAAAGAGAAUGAUUUUAAUAAACCUGGGGGUUGCAGCCUGCAAAAUGGAGGAGACAUAGGCCACAAGCUGAGUUAGGCCCAAUAGUGAGGUAAGACCCAGGCGCGAGAUCUGGUACAGCUAGCUCCAGAGAGUGUGUGGUGUGGAAGCGUUAUGGUCCUUCUGAUCUGGCUUGGACAUGGAUCUAACGGCUGGUACGUGAGACUGCGUGGUGGUCACGUCUGGAAUUGCUACGUCUGAUCCGUGAAUAAAACAUUACAAAAAAUAAAACGUCCACAGCGGGACUCGAACCAAGGCUCACGAGGUCAAGGAACAACAUGCAUCACCAGCUGCACUGCACAUUUCAUUUGUUAAUAAUACACUCUGUAUCUAUAAAUAACAAACAACGCACUAAGUAUUAAAUUCAAAACAAAAGCCAAAGUGGGACUCGCGGAUUGUAUACAGAGCCAAUCAGGAUUGGAGAGAGGGCGUUGAAGAAUUGACUGGCCAAUGGAAGUUUCUAAAAACGCCACGCAUGCACAUGACUGGUCCACGCCGCCUGGGACGCCGGAGCCACCGUCUUCUCCGACGGGAUCCUCUCCAUGUACCUGCAAAAUACACGUGAAACAACAACCAGGAAUAUCCUUGUCCACUAAUUCAAGCCCUGCGAACUCAAUGGAAGUGUUAGUUUUGGCUGAAACAUCUUGUAUCUAAGCUUCCGAAUAAGCGAAAGCUUCACGCCCUAACAAUGGCGGAUCUUCAUUCCUGCAUCAUAACUUAAAAACGAAUGGCGUAAACACGUCUAAGGAUCAUUAAAAGCAUGAAUAUGGACCUGGAUAUGAUUCAUAACGUGUAACAUGUGACUUUUGAGGCAUGGAAGUUCUUACCAAAUAGUGAAACUCAAAGGGAGCGUUCUGGUGCGCUGUGAUCUUCCAAUAUGGAAUAAAAUUGCUCCUGAUAGUAUCAGGAACGUGGUACAAGUCUCCAAAUCCUUUGAUAUUGGCUGUAGAGGGAUGUAUCUUAUGCCCUAAUUUUUUGGUUUCUUGGAAGUUCUUGCAAGGCUAGAGGCUAGGGUUUUUUCUGCUCUUUUUCGUGUCCUUGCUUGCAGAAAGCCCUCCCUUUAUAUAGAGUGAUAUUUUUUAGGGUUAAAAGAUUGAAUAAAAUCCCAUGAUUGAUAAGAAAAAAUAUGAUUUUGAUUCAUAUAUUUAACCUUUCUAUUUUGUCUCAAAUAUCCUACCAAUCAAAUAUUUUCGAAAUUUCUAGCCUUUAAUGAGUAUCUUGGACCUCAAGAAUGCUGAAUAACAAACCUUGCACUUAUUGAUUUGAUUUUUGCAUUUUAUUUUAAUUAAAAUUGAAUUUAAUUGAAUUAAUCCAAAAAUAAUUAAAAUAAAUGAAGUAAUGGCGUGACAUUGGGCUUUAGAGGCUCUUGGCUACUUUAGAAAUAGGUUUGAAUCAAAGAAACAUAAGCCCAUUAGCCAAAAAUGCAAUUUCCAUCACUUAGGCUUUCAAGCAUUUCCCCAAAUUUCACCAACUUGUGCAAGUCAUAACUCAUUCAUUAUUUAUCAUAUGAAGAUGUUCUAGGACUUUUUGGAAACCUCAAGAUGUCCUCUACAAUCCACUUUGGAAGCUUUUUUACAUUUGAAGAUUUUAUCUUGAAGAUAUGGCUCCUGGAAGAAAAUAGCUUUUUGCGAGCUUUUAGAAGGACCUGCAAUAUUCUGGCUCAUAUCUCUUAUGCGGAAGCAUCUCUUGACCUUGGGCCCAACAUAAAACUUGUAGAGAAUGCAAUUUCCUUGAGAGUAGGCUUUGGUUGAGGGAUUUCUGAUAAUUUAUGAGAGAGAUAUGAUCAGUCAAAGUUGGGUUGACUUUUACCUAAAAACCCUAAUUUAGCAACUUGGACAUUUGAUGAAUUUGAAGUCUUCCUUGAUGAAUCAUGAUCAACACUUGAUCAAAUGAUGAAUGUGACUUCAAAAUGUUGAUGUUGGCAAAAAAAUCAGGAGUUUUGACUGUACUUUGACCACAGUUUGACUUUUAGGUCAACCAGUCGAUUAUUGAUCGUUUGGGCCAUUGAGUGAGCAAUCUUUUGAAUCAGGGCUUGAAACUUGGCAUGAGGAUACUUUGAAUCAUAUGAGAGACCAUGGGUUCCAUUUGAGGUAUCAGAAGUUGAUUUUACUUUGAGAAAUACAAAACCCUAGUUUAGAGGCUAAUGUUUAGGAGAGAGACUACAUACUUCCUUCUUGUGUAUCUUUGAGCAGUUGAAAGUCAGAUGGAUUGAAAUAUGAAUAAAUAUGAUGGGCAAAUUUUGGGGUAUGACAGGUGUAUACCUGAUUUAUUUGGUACACGAUACUACAUUCAGGUGAGUUUCUCUUGAGAAUAUUAUUGGCUGACAAGUAGUUUUUUAAGCAGAUAAUAUUUAAAAGAUGGAAUGUAGACAUUGAGAACUUUGUAGAAUCUGUUGUACUGGUACAAUAAACCCUUAGUACAUACCUUUGUGGGUGGUUCUUUAUCCUUGACUCCAUGCUCGUGGUUCCCCAUGUGUCUUUGUUGACUUUACUUAUAGAUCCCGCUAUGUUGCAUUGCACAUAACAUUGCAUUUGCAUUGCAUCAUUUGCAUACUUCAUGCAUACAUCCAGGUUGUCCUGAAAAUUUAUUCUCGUCUUU